rnacentral:lncRNA from 1 species
AGAAUCAGCCCUGAGCACUGUGACAAACCUCAGCUCUCCUGUUCAACACGUUGACAUUUACAUAUGACUGCAGAAGGUGCAUCUGCCUCCACUCUCCUUCCAACAUAUCCCCAAAAUCUACACGAAGCAUUUGAAAGAACUUCACUCUUCUGUGUCUUACACUGGAAUAUAAUUUGUCAGUAGAACGUGACACAAAGGCUACCUUUUUUUUUUUUGGUUUUUUGGUGUGUGUGCAUGUUAUUUGGAGAGAAAUACAAAGACUU